CGGAGGAAAAGAACAACAGGGAUUGCCCUAGUAACGGCGAGUGAAGCGGCAACAGCUCAAAUUUGAAAUCUGGCUUCGGCCCGAGUUGUAAUUUGCAGAGGAAGCUUUGGGCGCGGUACCAACUGAGUCCCCUGGAACGGGGCGCCACAGAGGGUGAGAGCCCCGUAUAGUUGGACGCCUAGCCUGUGUAAAGCUCCUUCGACGAGUCGAGUAGUUUGGGAAUGCUGCUCAAAAUGGGAGGUAAAUUUCUUCUAAAGCUAAAUACCGGCCAGAGACCGAUAGCGCACAAGUAGAGUGAUCGAAAGAUGAAAAGCACUUUGAAAAGAGGGUUAAAUAGCACGUGAAAUUGUUGAAAGGGAAGCGCUUGUGACCAGACUUGCGCCCGGCUGAUCAUCCGGUGUUCUCACCGGUGCACUCUGCCGGGCUCAGGCCAGCAUCGGUUCUCGCGGGGGGAUAAAGGUCCUGGGAACGUAGCUCCUCCGGGAGUGUUAUAGCCCAGGGCGCCAUGCCCCCGCGGGGACCGAGGACCGCGCUCUGCAAGGAUGCUGGCGUAAUGGUCAUCAGCGACCCGUCUUGAAACACGGACCAAGGAGUCAAGGUUUUGCGCGAGUGUUUGGGUGUAAAACCCGCACGCGUAAUGAAAGUGAACGUAGGUGAGAGCUUCGGCGCAUCAUCGACCGAUCCUGAUGUUUUCGGAUGGAUUUGAGUAGGAGCGUUAAGCCUUGGACCCGAAAGAUGGUGAACUAUGCUUGGAUAGGGUGAAGCCAGAGGAAACUCUGGUGGAGGCUCGCAGCGGUUCUGACGUGCAAAUCGAUCGUCAAAUCUGAGCAUGGGGGCGAAAGACUAAUCGAACCAUCUAGUAGCUGGUUACCGCCGAAGUUUCCCUCAGGAUAGCAGUGUUGUCUUCAGUUUUAUGAGGUAAAGCGAAUGAUUAGGGACUCGGGGGCGCUUUUUAGCCUUCAUCCAUUCUCAAACUUUAAAUAUGUAAGAAGCCCUUGUUACUUAGUUGAACGUGGGCAUUCGAAUGUAC
rnacentral:rRNA from 1 species